CACCGGCGGCUCGAGUGGUGGCCACUUUUAUUGGGUCUAAAGCGUCCGUAGCCGGCUUGGCAAGUCCCCUGGGAAAUCUGGCGGCUUAACCGUCAGGCGUCCAGAGGACACUGCCAGGCUUGGGACCGGGAGAGGUGAGAGGUACCUCAGGGGUAGGGGUGAAAUCUUGUGAUCCCUGAGGGACCACCAGUGGCGAAGGCGUCUCACUAGAACGGGUCCGACGGUCAGGGACGAAAGCUGGGGGCACGAACCGG
rnacentral:rRNA from 1 species